rnacentral:rRNA from 1 species
UACGGGGGGUGCGAGCGUUGUCCGGAAUCACUGGGCGUAAAGGGCGCGUAGGUGGUCUGAUAAGGGUGUGGUGAAAGCCCGGGGCUCAACCCCGGGUCGGCCGUGCCGACUGUUAGACUAGAGUACUGUAGGGGCAGGCGGAAUUCCGGGUGUAGCGGUGGAAUGCGUAGAGAUCCGGAGGAAGACCGGUGGCGAAGGCGGCCUGCUGGGCAGUUACUGACACUGAGGCGCAACAGCGUGGGGAGCAAACAGG